rnacentral:rRNA from 1 species
UACGUAGGGGGCUAGCGUUGCUCGGAAUCACUGGGCGUAAAGCGCACGUAGGCGGCUUUUUAAGUCAGGGGUGAAAUCCUGGAGCUCAACUCCAGAACUGCCUUUGAUACUGGGAAGCUCGAGUCCGGGAGAGGUGAGUGGAACUCCGAGUGUAGAGGUGAAAUUCGUAGAUAUUCGGAAGAACACCAGUGGCGAAGGCGGCUCACUGGCCCGGUACUGACGCUGAGGUGCGAAAGCGUGGGGAGCAAACAGG